rnacentral:rRNA from 1 species
AUUGAACGCUGGCGGCAGGCUUAACACAUGCAAGUCGAGCGGGGUGAUGGUGCUUGCACUAUCACUUAGCGGCGGACGGGUGAGUAAUGCUUAGGAAUCUGCCUAUUAGUGGGGGACAACAUCGCGAAAGGGAUGCUAAUACCGCCUACGCCCUACGGGAGAAAGCAGGGGAUCACUUGUGACCUUGCGCUAAUAGACGAGCCUAAGUCGGAUUAGCUAGUGGGUGGGGUAAAGGCCUACCAAGGCGACGAUCUGUAGCGGGUCUGAGAGGAUGAUCCGCCACACUGGGACUGAGACACGGCCCAGACUCCUACGGGAGGCAGCAGUGGGGAAUAUUGGACAAUGGGGGGAACCCUGAUCCAGCCAUGCCGCGUGUGUGAAGAAGGCCUUAUGGUUGUAAAGCACUUUAAGCGAGGAGGAGGCUCUUUUGGUUAAUACCCAAGAUGAGUGGACGUUACUCGCAGAAUAAGCACCGGCUAACUCUGUGCCAGCCGCCGCCGUAA